rnacentral:rRNA from 1 species
AACGAACGCUGGCGGCAUGCCUAACACAUGCAAGUCGAACGAGACCUUCGGGUCUAGUGGCGCACGGGUGCGUAACGCGUGGGAAUCUACCCUUGGGUUCGGAAUAACAGUGAGAAAUUACUGCUAAUACCGGAUGAUGUCGAAAGACCAAAGAUUUAUCGCCCGAGGAUGAGCCCGCGUUGGAUUAGCUAGUUGGUGAG